GUUGGGUAGCCAGCUUUACCUACGGUGGAAGGCUGGUUAAACCGUUUGGUUUACGACCACAACGACCCGGGUUCGAUCCCCGCACUGGACA
rnacentral:tRNA from 1 species